UUUUAUGAGAGUUUGAUCCUGGCUCAGGACGAACGCUGGCGGCGUGCCUAAUACAUGCAAGUCGUACGCUUCUUUUUCCACCGGAGCUUGCUCCACCGGAAAAAGAGGAGUGGCGAACGGGUGAGUAACACGUGGGUAACCUGCCCAUCAGAAGGGGAUAACACUUGGAAACAGGUGCUAAUACCGUAUAACAAUCGAAACCGCAU
rnacentral:rRNA from 1 species